rnacentral:rRNA from 1 species
GGAGCAAAGCAGGGGACCUUUCGGGGCCUUGUGCUUAUAGAUGAGUCCGCGUCAGAUUAGCUAGUUGGUGGGGUAAGAGCCUACCAAGGCGAUGAUCUGUAGCUGGUUUGAGAGGAUGAUCAGUCACACUGGAACUGAGACACGGUCCAGACUCCUACGGGAGGCAGCAGUGGGGAAUUUUGCACAAUGGGCGCAAGCCUGAUGCAGCGAUGCCGCGUGUGGGAAGAAGGCCUUUGGGUUGUAAACCACUUUCAAUUGGGAAGAAGGGAUGAGAAUUAAUAAUUCUCUGACUUGACGGUACCUUUAGAAGAAGCACCGGCUAAUUUCGUGCCAGCAGCCGCGGUAAUACGAAAGGUGCAAGCGUUGUUCGGAUUUACUGGGCGUAAAGAGAUCGUAGGUGGUUUGUUAAGUUGGAUGUGAAAUCCCGGGGCUCAACCUCGGAACUGCAUCCAAAACUGGCAGACUUGAGUUCGGGAGGGGUAAGCGGAAUUCCGUGUGUAGCAGUGAAAUGCGUAGAUAUACGGAGGAACACCUGAGGCGAAGGCGGCUUACUGGACCGAUACUGACACUGAGGAUCGAAAGCGUGGGUAGCAAACAGGAUUAGAUACCCUGGUAGUCCACGCCCUAAACGAUGUCAACUAGCCGUUGCGGGUAUCGACCCCUGCAGUGGCGCAGCUAACGCGAUAAGUUGACCGCCUGGGGAGUAC